AGCUACUCUGCCGGAAAUGAGGAGUAGAAGAAGAAAGCAGCGUAGGCUCCAGAGCAGAGCUGGAUGUAUGGCUGCAGGACGCCGCCGCGUCACUUCAGCAGCUAACAGUGAAAACACUGUUAAACUACGGACAGGUCGCCUCUCUUUGCAGCGUUACCAAACGGUGUGAGUUAUCAAUAAUGUAUAUUGGUCCGUUAUUUAUACUUUGAAGGCUCACCCGCGGCGCCGAUAAUGCUGAAAAUGAAGCUACCGAUGAAAACGGGCGAGGAAGGAGGCGACGAGACGGCCGAGGACGAUUCACUGGAUCAGUCGGAGCACCGACAUAUUCCCAGGGCUGUGCCUUCCUCUUCGGUGUCGGACAGACCGGAUGAGUCGCCCAGACCUUUUGUGCAUCCAUCCCAGCUGGACAAGGAGACUGUUUUCGAGUGGUUCGGCCUACAUCUAAACCCCGCUAAGCGGAUCGAGUUCAUGUGCGGGCUGUUACAUAUGUGCCAACCCCUGGAGCUCCGCUUUUUGGGAUCUUACUUAGAGGAUCUGGCUAGAAAAGAUUACCAUGUUUUAAGGGACUUCGAGUUUCGGGCGAAUAGUCCGAGCGAUUUGGGAGUUUUAACGGACGUGAUUGACCCGGUGGUCAGGUCCAAACUCCUGGUCUGCCUGUCCCUCCUCGGGUCUGACAGCAGGGAGUGUGCGGGAAUACUCUUUCGGAUACUGAGCCAUGUAGAUCCGGCCUUGUUCUACAAAAAUUACGACUACUCCCUUCCACCCUUCAGGAACACUCACCACCACUCGCCCCAUCCGCCGUGUCAGGACGGGAGUGUGUACGGGCGCUCAGAGCAGAACUGCGGCUUCUCCUCCAGCGAAGCGGCGGCAGGACCUCUGGAGCAGCUGGCGCUGCUUUUUACCAUGGCCUCUUUGCACCCAGCUUUUCACUUCCACCAACGAGAGACGGUCCGAGGGCAGCUGGAAAAAAUCGAACUUGCCAUCGAGGAGGAGAGACGUCAGAGCCAGCUCAGAGCGAGCGCCCAGACAACGGAGCUGACGGCUCAGAACACCGACUACCUGCCUUCCCCAGCAGGUUUGGGGGAUUGCGCGGCCUCCCAUCCCCCGUGCCAGAGCCGAUGCUCCAGCCGCUGGGCAACACAAAGAGAAGCGGUGCAUAUAGAGGGAAUCGUGCUCAGGGGCAUCUCGCGGACCAGUAUAGACAAAGAGUACAACUUUGAGGUGAAGUGGUCAGAUUCUUCUUCCAGCAGUGUGACCAAAACCCAUCUGGAACUGGAGAAUUUCCUUCUUAAGCUUCCUAAGGAUCAGUGUACUGAGUCCUUUGAGAAGAGCAUCCUGAGGCUUCUGAACCAGGGGGACCAGAGUGAGAGCAGGGACGUGGAGAAGAACCUCAGGGAAAGGUUCCUGUCUGCUCCUCCCGUCUUCAGGCAGACCAGAAAGGUCUGCAGCUUCUUCAACUGUGACUCCACAUACUCGACAAAACCUGCUGGCUGCAGAUGCAACUGCCAGCUGGGUAAGGCCUACCCGGGAGACUGUUCUGAUGCCUCCAGUCAGGAGGAAGAUUUAGAGUCGUACGUUCAGGGACAUAAGAAGAAGCACGGGGCCAAGAGUCCAUGUCAAGGGCUCUCCAGUGCCAAGGGCUCACAGGGGGAUAGUCGGAGGACAGGCCACGCCGCAGAGCUCAACAGUCCAGCAGAGAGGAGGAAGAGCUGCACACUGAGGAGCAGCCAGGCAGCUGAGCAGCACCCGGAGAGUGAGAAGAGGAGCCACCCGGGCGCCAAAACAAAGAGCAGAGGCCUGCCCGCAGACAGGGACAAGGGGAAAGUGAAGGGUCCCGCUUUUGUGGCCAACGGCAGGCUGGGAGCAGCCCUGUCACCUCAGAGGAAAGAUGGAGGUUCUGGUCCAGACACGUUUGGUGAAACAUCAUCAGAAAGCUACAGCUCUCCAUCCAGCCCUCAACACAGAGGACCAGAGAGCAUGGACAGCGAGGACGACAACAACAAAGACACUGACAGUCACUCUGAUGACUCCAGCAAAGGCCCGGGCCCUGACAUGUUCUUCACCCACCAGGCUGAUCCAGCUGUGGUGGGGGAGGUUACCUCUGUCCACCCUCUGUCUUCCAAGAACCACCGGGCCCAAAUGGACCCAGUCUGCCCGGAGCCCAGUGCAGAUUUCCCCCCUCUUCCACUCUCCCCCUUCAUACAUUCUCUGCCCUACGUGCUCCCCAACGGGGCCGCUGACUCUCCGCUUCCACUGGCGCCUCCUCCCAGCCAAAGCAUUGUCCCCGAUGUGAAGCCCUCGUCUGGGACACUGAUGAUGCAGAUGCCCCUAGUGCCUUCAGCUAUCCCAGGCCCUGGAAUAGUAGGAGACCCAGAGAAGAGGGACAUGCUCCCGACCUUUGGGAUUCCACCUAUUGGCCUCCACCCUUCAGGAAAUCCCGCCGUGCAGCCCAUGGUGCAGAGAUUCAAAACAGCUUUGCCUCACAGCCCAGGCGGCACUGAUGGAGCUCUAGGGAGUGCUUCGACUCCUGCUGCCCCACAGGGUCCACACCAGGUCUCUGUAAGAGCCAUCAGCAUCAUGUCUCCUGGCCCCACAUCCUUCUCCUCUCCUCUUCAGCAGCCUCUACCCUGCCAAGACCCGGCCGGCGUCAGCUCAGGCCUGGCCCCCGCUCUGCCACACGUGGAGACUUCACAGCAUGCCAAGCACCCCGGCUUAACCUUACCGUCCGGCCUGCCUUCUCCCUACACCCUGCCACCGGUCCCCACCUCUGUUAUGCCUACUGUAGGAGCUCCUGCAGCCGCUGGAAUAGCUCCGUCUCCUGGACACGUACAAGCAGCUGUUCCACCAGCCGUGCCCACCCACACGCCCGGACCUGCCCCCAGUCCCAGCCCAGCGCUUACUCACAGCACGGCGCACAGCGACUGUACAUCGUACAGCAACAGCAGCGCUUCCUGUGGAAGUGCUGCUGUUGGCAACCCUGUUACCCUUCAGCAAACCCAGCAGCAACAGUUGCCCCCACAGCAGCCAACACCACAACAACAACAACCACAGCAGCAGCAGCAGCAACCGAUGGGCUGUGGGACCUGUGGUUGUCACAACAACUGUGGCGGCCGAGUCAGCGUGAGCAACAACAACAGUGUCAGCGGCGCCUCCGGCUGCCAGGCCCCCUUAUUCUUCCCUGCCCACCAGAUGGCGGCAGCCCGGCAGGUGUUUAGCGUUCCUCCGCCUCUCUUCGCUCAGCUCACAAGCCUGUGCAGUAACAGUUACCUCACCCAGGCGCAGCCUCCUCACCAGGCCAACGGUGCGGCCACCCUGUCCCCCUUCUUCCCCACCGCUCCACCUCCCGCACACCCGCCCCCCUACGGCCCCCUCCACACCCACGCACACAGCCACGCGGACGUGCCAUCGCACAUGCUCGGCACCCAGGCCGCCGUAGUGGCAGCCGCAGCGGCCGCAAACUACAACCUCCAGCAGCAGAUGGCGCCGGCCGCGUCGUUCUGCCAGCGCGUCUACCAGCACGUGUACCCGAACACCCUGGGUAUGAUACCCACUGCUACCAUGGGCGGAGGUGGAGUCAAUAAGAAGAACGGCAACGUGUCCUGUUAUAACUGUGGGGUGAGCGGCCACUACGCUCAGGACUGCAACCAACCCUCCAUAGACUCCACGCAGCAAGGUAGUGCAGCUACACGGAACAGGGAUAAACAGAGGACCACUUAGUCAUUGAGAAGGUCUAACACUGAGCCCAGACUACGAGAAGUUAGGGCGAGUAUAUUGUGAGGUGUUUAGCUUCAGCUCUCUUGCUUCAGUUUGGAAGCUGUGCCACCGGAACAUUCAAAUUGCACCAAACAAACGUGUGUGUGUGUGUUAUCCUGCAGGACACGACAACAAGCAGAGCUGUCAGGGACCAGAGUAAAGUUUGUUUGAGCUACAUCUCUGCCAUCAAAAUCCACUGUGAUUGGUUAAUCCACAAGAGUACCGUACCAUGCCAGUGCCAGUCCCUGGUUUGCAUGUAGUCAGGCACUCUGACGGUGUGACCGCCGUCUACACGUGUUUUUAAGUGUCUUUUGAGGUUUGUUAACAUUACGGACUCACAGCUUAUUAUUUAGCUCCGUUGAGGACUGUCUCAUCCACUAAGCGUGGACAGAAUCAAAGGUUAGCGUCUGUAUGCUGCUUCGGAUGUGGUGAAGUUAUCAUCCUUGAAACAUUUCCACAUAUAAAAAAACAAAACUUACAAUGCACAAAUCUCACCUUUGUGUAGCCUUCCCAAAUUUCAGUUUAGUUUUUUAACUGGAGUCCAUCUCCUUCUUGCAUUUUGGCCGAGCGAUGAUGUGCUCGUCACUGCCCCCCUGAGGCAGACGGUGGAACAUGUCCACACAAAUAUGUUUUAGGGGUUCUUUGGCAGCAAUGCUCAAACAGUCGUGGACGAGUUAGACAAAGGUGAAUUUCCUGCACGCUUAAGCUGUCCCCAUGUCAGUGGAUGACCGCGUCAGUGCGCCGCCCUGCUGCUUGUAGCACCACCUGCAGGUUUACACUGGCACUGCAGCUCAGAGGACGUGACAAAUAUCAAUCAUUCUAUCAAUCGUCAUUCAGAAAUAAAGUCAAAGCAAACCAGUGACUGCCAGGAUGGUACACAAACACUCACAGUCACAGCUCAGAGUUGAAGGUGGAUUCCGGUUAAAGUACGCAGCCUCCCACAUUUCAGAAGCACUUGACAAUGCCGACUGAAGAGGAAGAAAAGGAUGAAGAGGAGUUCGGCUGGUCUCAUUCCCGGUCCUCUGUUCUUCCCCAGGCACUGUGUGUGUGUGUGUGUGUCUGUGUGUGUGCGCGUGUGUGUGAGAGUGAGCAGCGCACUGAAGCUUCUGAGUACUUCAGGAAAAAAAAGAAAUCUCAAAAAGAAAGAGUGACCUGCCAAGGGCUCUGUGGACAAAGCCUAAGUACUUGUGCCUGAGAAAAUCUUGUUCCCAUGGGGAUGAUUCGCCGUCUCGUGCACACCAACAGUCCACGUGACUCCCCGGGUCUCUUCCCUUUCAGUUUGUUUUUGAUAUUUUUGCACUGAGGGUUGGAAGUGAUUAACUUAUUACUUAAUUAUUAGGAGGUUGAGAGAUUUUUUUGUUUUGUUUUUUCAUUCAAGUGGAGACUAGUCCGAGCUCUGUACACUUAUUUCUAAAAUAGCGUAUUUAUGCUUCUCCCUCAUUACUGUUCAUCUAGGAUUUUAUGCUCUGGCAGAAAUGUACAGCAGUUUUUUCAAAGAUGAGAAGAAGAAUCAAAAAAAAAAAAAAGAGUCGUAAGCAAAGUGUAUUUUAGGUUUGUUUUAUGUUGCUGUAAGGUUUUUGAAUGUACACCUUGUUUAAGGAAUCUACAACGUGUAUCGAUCUCAUGCGUUUUUUGCCACUCUAUGUAUGUUUAGUUGGAAAGUAAUUGCUGCUUUGUAAUAUUUUGUUUCACAUUGUUUUUUUGUUUUUUUUGUGAAAUGCACUAUAGCGAGGCAAGAACACAAGUGCACUAAAACUCAGCACUAUGACAGGAUUUCUUCGUUUUUAAUAGCCCAGUCAGCAAAACAGUCAGCAAGUCCUGCGUGUUGACUCUUUUAGAAGUGAGACGGUUAACGUUUUAGACAGAGUGAGCUCUCACUGUUCUAACUUAAACUACACACACUGUAGAAAUACACAAAGCAUAGAAUCAUUCGGAUCACCUCUCUCAGUCAUCACAUUUGGUCAACAGCAAGAUAACUACUCCAACUACCAGCCGGAUUGCAGAUUGACUACAAUUCCCACGUGCACACAGAAAAUACCAAGCUGCAUUCAUGUUCUCCUGAAGAUGAACACAUUCUAUUUUGGAACCAGUUUUCGGAGACGGGAUUUCAGGUUUUUAACCACUACUGAUGAUUCUAAAGACCUCAGUCUGCUUCAAAUGUUUGUUUUUAUCUCCUCGCUCGCCCCGAUCUCUCCCAGAGAAUGACUUUUUUUUGGCUAGCUUUGUGGGAAGAUGGCGUUCCCAUUAUUUCAUCAAGUCAGCUGGACUUUUGUUGAGUUUACAGGAUGUUAAAUGUUAGAGAAUAUUGCAUAUAAAGUCAGUGAAAUGACUCCAUAAUUAAUAUGUAUCCAAAGUUAGCUAUCAUUGGCCACUGUAUUGCUUGUAUACCAGACCAAUUGUGGUCUAGAUGUAGAUAAUUCAACAAGUUGUCUGUUGGAAGCAUACUGAGGCUUUAGAAAACAACAGUUUGGUGUUGUUCAGUGCUCGUUGGGGAUGCAGACCGUUAAGCUUACAUUUUUAAAUGUACAAUUUCAGCUGUUGCUUUCAUCAGCGUACAAAGGUACCACACUACAGAGGGCCAGCUUGGUUAUUACUUGGAUAAAUUGACAGAAACGGUCAGAACAGACAGCAAACAUUACAUUGUAUAGACCAAGUCAUCAAGGCACGUCUCUCUUGCACUCUUGGUAUAUUAAUGCAAUGUGUAGUUUUAUCUGACAGCUCUGUGUGUAUUGUCAGAUCACCCCUUAGAGAGUGAAGUGUCAUCUCGUUCCAUUUGAAGCCUAGAAGAGAGCAGAAUGUGUGUUGAAGUUGAAACACUGAGGAGGGAAAUCACUGACUUUUUCUACACUUGUUAAUUGAGUGAAUAAAUAAAUAUCUAUGUUGAGUUUUUUUUUUUUUUUUUUUUGGUUUUUCUGCACAAAAUUGUUGAUAACUGACCCAAGAUGUCUGACAAACAUGAAAAUGACAUUUGAAGGAAGCUCGUUAACGUUAUUUGGGGGGUUUUAGGUAAUAAACAAAAGCCAUGUGAGAGACUAUGGAGGCCAAAAGUGCAUGGAAUUAAAUAAAAAAGAAUAAUAGUAAAUGACACAAACACAUUAUAUUCUGGUUUUAUAGUUUUAGCGCCUGUCAGCCUAUCACAUGCCUCGUCUCUCAUAAGUUAGCAAGAAGUUCAAGUUCAGCAACUUCUCCCAGAUUUAGCCAGUUAGCACCUUUUAGCUUGAGCAGUGUCAACACUAAAGGCCACAAACUCACUGUCACUGUGUCUAAUUAACAGAAAUGAACGUGUUUCUUUUUUUUUCGAGCAUAACAAGGCUGCACGUGCUACCUACUCAGCUGGUGAGCUAGAAAGGGUCGUUAACUUGGUUUAGUGUCAAAGUGAAGUGCCAACGACGGCAGCUAACGUUAGCUGGUUAAGUCAGUUAUGUCAGCACUAUAAAG